rnacentral:rRNA from 1 species
GGUUGAUCCUGCCGGACCUGACUGCUAUCGGAUUGAUACUAAGCCAUGCGAGUCAUUGUAGUAAUACAGGGCAGACGGCUCAGUAACGCGUAGUCAACCUAACCUAUGGACGGGAAUAACCUCGGGAAACUGAGUAUAAUGCCCGAUAGAACAUUAUGCCUGGAAUGGUUUAUGUUCCAAAUGAUUUAUCGCCGUAGGAUGGGACUGCGGCCUAUCAGUUUGUUGGUGAGGUAAUGGCCCACCAAGACUAUUACAGGUACGGGCUCUGAGAGGAGUAGCCCGGAGAUGGGUACUGAGACACGGACCCAGGCCCUAUGGGGCGCAGCAGGCGAGAAAACUUUGCAAUGUGCGAAAGCACGACAAGGUCAAUCCGAGUGGUUUCUGCUAAAGGAACCUUUUGUUAGUCCUAGAAACACUAACGAAUAAGGGGUGGGCAAGUUCUGGUGUCAGCCGCCGCGGUAAAACCAGCACCUCAAGUGGUCAGGAUGAUUAUUGGGCCUAAAGCAUCCGUAGCCGGCUCUGUAAGUUUUCGGUUAAAUCUGUACGCUCAACGUACAGGCUGCCGGGAAUACUGCAGAGCUAGGGAGUGGGAGAGGUAGACGGUACUCAGUAGGAAGGGGUAAAAUCCUUUGAUCUAUUGAUGACCACCUGUGGCGAAGGCGGUCUACCAGAACACGUCCGACGGUGAGGGAUGAAAGCUGGG